GCGGUGUGCGAGUGUGCCGUGUGCGCCAGUGCGCCCGCAAGCCCGCAAGUUCGCGCUCCGCCACGCAGCCCAAGCUCUCUCUAGCCGCGCGCUGAUCGGCCACGUUCGUCAGCCGGGCCCCACGCAAAAAGGCAGCGGGGCCGCGCGCCAGCCGACUGGACACACUAGACGGACGAAUUUCUUACUUGUAAUUCGUAUAGACAACAACACGCGUACGAGGACGUAUCGGGGCCGGCUUGUGUGCGAGCAAAACGCGUCUCCAAGACAAUUCUUCUCGAAGGAAACCGAUCGUUCUUAUAUGUACUAUAUAUACAUACACAUAGAUAUAUAUAUAUACACACGCACACGCACACACACGCACACACACACGCACACACAUAUGUAAGUAACGUUGUCGGUCGCCGCUCAAGGAAAUCAGUUCGACGACGUGGUGUGACACGUAAAACACGAGUGAAACUCGCUCGAAACACGCGCGCUCCGACCUGAAUCUGAGAACCGCACGACACCACUUGGAAGAAAACCGGGCAGUGACUGUGAACAAACGAACAGGAUAAUCACGGACCCCUUAUCCAGUGCGCUGUUUUCGUGUUGUGAGACACACCGUUUUACGCACGUCCUCGAACGAGUCUUCUUGGGAUCGCCGCGAUUGUAAAGAUUGACGAAUGACGACGUAACAGAGAGCUGGCUGGUGCGCGGAUACCGGGACACAAGAGGGGACAGCAUCUUUCAAAUCGCCACGGCAACGUUUAUCG